rnacentral:rRNA from 1 species
GACGUAGGGUGCGAGCGUUGUCCGGAAUUAUUGGGCGUAAAGAGCUCGUAGGCGGUGUGUCGCGUCGGCCGUGAAAACCUGCAGCUUAACUGUGGGCUUGCGGUCGAUACGGGCAUCACUGGAGUUCGGCAGGGGAGACUGGAAUUCCUGGUGUAGCGGUGAAAUGCGCAGAUAUCAGGAGGAACACCGGUGGCGAAGGCGGGUCUCUGGGCCGAUACUGACGCUGAGGAGCGAAAGCGUGGGGAGCGAACAGG